UACGGAGGAUGCAAGCGUUAUCCGGAAUGAUUGGGCGUAAAGCGUCCGCAGGUGGCAAUGUAAGUCUGCUGUCAAAGCGUCUGGCUCAACCAGAUAAAGGCAGUGGAAACUACAUAGCUAGAGUAAGGUAGGGGUAGAGGGAAUUCCUGGUGUAGCGGUGAAAUGCGUAGAGAUCAGGAAGAACACCGGUGGCGAAGGCGGAUCUCUGGGCCUUACCUGACGCUCAGGUGCGAAAGCUAGGGGAGCGAACAGG
rnacentral:rRNA from 1 species